CCAAUAGCGUAUAUUAAAGUUGUUGCAGUUAAAAAGCUCGUAGUUGAAUUUCGGGGUCAGUAGAUUGGUCGUGCCACUGGUAUGUACUGGUCUUACUGGCUCCUCCUUCCUGAUGAACCGUAAUGCCAUUAAUUUGGUGUUGCGGGGAGACUGGACUGUUACUUUGAAAAAAUUAGAGUGUUUAAAGCAGGCUAACGCUUGAAUACAUUAGCAUGGAAUAAUGAAAUAGGACGUUCGAUCUUAUUUUGUUGGUUUCUAGGAUUGACGUAAUGAUUAAUAGGGAUAGUUGGGGGCAUUAGUAUUCAAUUGUCAGAGGUGAAAUUCUUGGAUUUAUUGAAGACUAACUACUGCGAAAGCAUUUGCCAAGGAUGUUUUCAUUAAUCAAGAACGAAAGUUAGGGGAUCGAAGACGAUCAGAUACCGUCGUAGUCUUAACCAUAAACUAUGCCGACUAGGGAUCGGAUGAUGUUAAUUUUUUAAUGACUCAUUCGGCGCCUUACG
rnacentral:rRNA from 1 species